CACGUAGGGGGCGAGCGUUGUCCGGAUUUAUUGGGCGUAAAGAGCUCGUAGGCGGCUCGGUAAGUCGGGUGUGAAAACUCUAGGCUCAACCUAGAGACGCCACCCGAUACUGCUGUGGCUAGAGUCCGGUAGGGGAGCAUGGAAUUCCUGGUGUAGCGGUGAAAUGCGCAGAUAUCAGGAGGAACACCAGUGGCGAAGGCGGCGAUCUGGCCCAACACUGACACUGAGACCCGAAAGCAUGGGGAUCAAACAGG
rnacentral:rRNA from 1 species